AUGGAGGAAGCUCCUGUGACCGCUGCCACAGGGGCCUUGGGACCCGUCGUGGUGAAGCUGGGUGCUUUACUGGGCAGCCAGUACAAGCUUUGGCGCCGGACUCGCAAGGACGUCAAGUUGAUCAAAUCCAACCUCAAGUCUGUGCACUCUAUCCUUUGGAUGAUAUGGGGGAAGGAGAUUCUUGAUGUGGAGUCCAAAAACUUGAAGAAUGAAGCGCUGGAUCUCGCCGCUGAUAUGGAGGACGCUGUCGAUGACUUCAUACUCACCAUGGAGCCCAGCCGCAAAAACAAGCACUUGAUGGUGCAGAUCAAGAUCCAAGCAAGCCCCUUCCAAGAUUUCAGGGCAAGAGUAGAUGAGGUGUCGGUCCGGUGCCGCAACAAGUGGAAGAACAAGUCUGCUCAGCCCAUCUCCAGCUUAUUUUCAAGGAAGAAAAACAACAACCCCAGAAUACCGCCUCCUCGAGCUCCAUUUGUUCACAAGGAUGCGGCGGACAUCUUUGGAAUGGACAGAUGGAAGAAUGGCCUCAUCACAUACCUGAUAGGAGAAGGAGGAGGAGAAGACGAAGAAGAAGAAGAGACCACAACGGUGCAGGCGACGCAUCUCAAAAUGGCAUCCAUUGUUGGAACGGCUGGUGUGGGGAAAACAACCCUUGCCAGCCUUGUUUAUGGGGACGAGGAGAUUGGAAAUAAGUUCCAGUCCCGGGCUUUUGUGUACCUAGUAAUAAUUGAUGACAUAUGGCAUCGUGAAGAAUGGGAGAUCAUCAGCAACUCUUUCCCUAAAAAUAAUCUCGGCAGUAGAAUUGUCAUCACAACUCGUAUUGCUUCUGUACCAGGCGAUCAUUUUGGUACUAACAAGCUCUGCAUCAGAAUGAAUCCUAAAUGUUUCCUGCAAAAAAUAAAAAGAAUGAAUCCUAAAUCUGGUCCCCUGUCAAGAUUAAAUCCUGAUUGGAGUAAGCCAAGAUGGCUAUACGGACCUGAUGGGGUGGAUGUAGCCACUAGGAUGAAGCCUGACAUGGUUGGAGAAGGUUUUGACAGUGACCAUCCUAUUGUGCUCAUGUGUGGUGGUGUGCCGUUAGCACUACUCUGCAUGUUUUCAGCAAUGGCAAUGGUCCUCCGAGAGCAACAAGAACAACUAGGGGUACAUGUAAAGGCACGUGAUGUGCAAGAUAUCAUUGAGAAGCAAGUUAAGCAAAGUGGAAUUCAGAACACUCCAAGUGUAUACCCUGAGAAUUACCCUUUUCACAUGAAUGAUUUGGUCAUGCGAUGGGUUGCUGAAGGAUUUACUUAUAAAGAGGAUAUAGCAAAAGGUUAUCUUGAAGAGCUUUGCAACAGAGGGUUGAUGCUGCGUCUAGAGGGUUUAUCGGACAUGCCCUACUACCAAAUGAACCCGAUGAUGCGAAAUUUCCUUAGAUGGAAAUCGCGUGAAGAUAAUUUCAUUACUUGCAGUUCCGACAUCAGAUUGGCAUAUGCAUGUCGAGUCCAUCGGCUAUGCAUCGACGAUUAUCAAGUUGAUGAUGGUGAGGUGCAGGUGGUGGAUACCUUGUUGGAACUGGAUUGGUCCCAGAUUCGAUCACUUGUUGUUUUUGAAGGUGCUGAGAGAUGUGUCCCUUUUGAGAAGUUGGAACGUGUGCGAGUGUUGGAUCUUCAAUAUCAUCAUCAUUAUCUUAAAUUCGUACAGUCUCUUUGGAUAUCUGUUCUGGAUUUCGAGGCCCUUGGAAAUCAGCAUGUGAAGGAUAUAUGUGGACUGCUCCGUGUGAGGCACCUAUUCGGCCUAGAAGGGACAGGAAUCAGUGAGAUACCAACGGAAAUAGCAAGGCUGCAACAUCUGGAGACUUUGCAGGUAAGAUUCACAUGGAUCACAGAGUUACCCUGUGAGAUUGGGGACCUACAACAGUUGAAGACUCUGGUUGUGAGUCGCAAUGAUAAGCUGGCAAAGCUAGCUAGGGAGAUAGGGGGUCUGCAAUAUUUAGAGACUCUGGACCUGAGCUAUAGCAACAGGAUCACGGAGUUACCACAUGAGAUCGGGAACCUCCAGAAUUUGGAGAAUCUGAACCUGCAGUGCACCAAGCUCAAAGAGCUGCCUCUGGAGAUUGGGAAGUUGCAGCAUUUGAAAGCACUGGUGGUGUGUGCAGCAGGCAUCACAAGGCUAGGCAAUGAAAUUGGGGACCUGCAGCCUUUAGAGACCUUGGACCUGAGUUUCAACAGAGGGCUCACACAGCUGCCUCGUGAGAUGUGGAAACUGCAGAAUUUGAAGCGGCUGCUCUUGAGUGAUACAGGGUUGGUGAAGGUACCAAGGGAAAUCGAAGGGCUCAAGAAGCUGGAGAUUUUAAAAUUAGACGAUACCAUCAGUGCACUGCCUUGGGAAGCUAGUCAGCUCUUGAAAUUGGAGGGAGUGCCCGAGUGCGUCCGCCAAGCCUGGAAGAAGAGUGAUCUUGUGUCCGAGUUAGCUGGGGAGAUCCUGUCCAUUCAACUUAUUGAUUGGUUGAAUGAAAGUGGCGGGCUAAUCGUUGGCAGAAAACAUAUGGGAAUUCCAGGGUGGAUCAAGGAUCACUUCAAGGACCUUGGGUCCUUGGACAUCAGGAUGUGCAAACUGGAGGAGCAGGAUCUCAAGAUUCUGCGGGAGAUGCCCAACCUGAAAUUUCUCACGCUAAGGUUGGAAGUUGUCCCGAGAGAUCCCAUAGCCAUCAGCCGUGAAGGGUUCCCAUGCCUGAGGGAACUCGUUGUUGACAGCCGCAUGCCACGGGUUGUCACCUUCCAGGAAGGAGCGAUGCCGGAGCUGCACAAGCUCGUCUUCGAGUUCCAGUUCUACGGUGGGCCACCUGCACCUGCAAAUAAAGACCCUCAGCUGGGUAUCAAGCACCUCCGAGACCUCGGGUGGGUCGAAUUUAGAUGCAGCAAGGAAUGGUAUGGAGGAGCAGCAGAGAGCAGGAGCCCGUGCAUGAUCCUCUUUUUUGACACCGUGAGGAAAGAAGCCCAGGAGCAUCUCAACAAGAUCCUCUUUUUUGUCUCUGGCCGCGAGCCAGGGAUUUUCCCAGCCCAGGAGAGCUUGGCACGGGAGGUUUUCCUGUCCAGCAGCAGCAGUGGGAGUGGCGCUGAGAAUGAGAUGAAGCGUCGUGAGGAGAAGAAGAGCUUGGCACAGGAGGUUUCCCUCUCCAGCAGCAGUGCGGGGACGGGCGCUGAGAUCAAGGAAGAGGAGGAGGAGGAGUAG
rnacentral:rRNA from 1 species